CCAGAGAGAGGGAGGAUGAAGACCCAGAGAGGAAAUGGCAGCAAUGAGGCAGAGGGUCCGCUGACAACACUGACAAAGUGUUGGGGGGACACAAAGACUUAGGUGGGGGCAGAGAAUUGGAUGGGUGGCGGGCUACAUGACCCACAGAGACAGUGAGAAAGGCUUGGAUAGGGUGGGGGCACGUAGACACACUCAAGAGUGAGCAGAAGGGGACAGAACCCUCAGGAUGGGGGACAGGGAUCCUGAGAGAGCAGGUGAAGAAACAACGGUGGAGAGAGGGAGACCCGUGAAGAAGGAUGGGACCCCAAAGAGCUGGAGCGGCAGUGCUGGGAUGAGCAGUGGGAGGUGUGGGUAGGCGGACGGGCAGGGCCACAUGUCCCCUGCCAGCUCUCUGACAGGGACAGCUGUGGCCGCCUGGGUAACCUGAGCCCCCCGCCCCCCCGCACCACAUUUAUAGCCCUGGCCUGGCCCCAUCCCCUGCCCCCAGAUCUGAGUCCCAGGGACGGGAGGUCACGGGUAUGCGUGCUGCAGCAGGAUUCCUCUCACCCCUCGCCAGGGCCUCCAUACUGGCAUCCACCAUCUCAGCAGAGUAGCCCAUUCUGGCCAGAAACUCCUGGGAAUCUAACCCCCCAGUCCUUCCUUGGCAGGGGUCUCUCCCUUCACAUACAUCCCUCCUGCUCCCCUCCCCCAGGGUCCAGGCUCCCCCACACUGGCCCACUAAAAAUCUAGCUAUUGUCUUGGCUGCUGCCAAACAUGAAUGCAUUGGCAGCCCAAAGUCAGAAACCCUUGACUCCUCUCUCCUGGCCAAAGAGAGACCCCUUCAUCCACCCCCUUCCCAGCUGAGAGGAGGAGGCGCAGGAGGGGAGGGGCAGGAGGGGACUGACCCAGAAUAACUCAGGGCCCAGAGUAAAUUUAGCCACAGAGAGGGGAGGGGAGAGACCCUAUUGGCUGGGAAGUGGGAGGGAGGACCAGUGAGGGGGGUCAGAGGACUCUGAAGACAGCCUCAGAGGGGUGUCCAGAGGCUGACUGUGAGGACCAGAGGGCAGAGACGGGGAGGGACACAGCAAAGGAACGACACAGGGAGCCAGAAAGGGAAGGAGCCCCAAAGGGACAAGGAGCCCAACAUCCAUCCUCGAAGCCACAGCCGCAGCGGGAGCCAGCCCUGGGAGCAGCUCUGUGGCCCGUCUGUCCCCAUGGGCCUCUGCUGGCCAUGGCUGCACACUUCUGUCCUCUGGGCUGCAGUGGCCAGCCUGCUCCUCCCCCCUGCCGUGACCCAGCAGUUGAGAGGGGCUGGGCCCGGCCCCAGCAACUGGGACGACCAUGCAGGAGUUCCGGGGCCCUCAGAGGACAUGUCGGGCAAGUCUGACCACCCGAUGCACAGCCACGGAGGCCAUGGAGAUGAGAACAGGGAUGUUUCCACAGAGAGUGGGCAUCAUCUCUGGGGCCACGGAGACCACGGAGAAGAGGACGAAGAUGUCUUCAGAGAGUCCCAAGGCCAUAGGUACCAAGGCCACGAGGUGGGAGACGAGAACGUCUCUGACGAGGAGGAAUACCCCAAGCAUGCUCAGCAGGCCCUCGGACACAGACACCACGGAAAUGAAGACGCGGAUGAUUCAGCUGAGCGCGGGGACCACUUCCCCAGCCAUGGGAGCCAGAGCCAAAAAGACGAGGAGGAGGAGGAGGAAGUUGUGUCCAGUGAGCAUCACCAUCAUCACAUCGUCAGGCAUGUCCACCGAGGCCACAGAGAAGAGGAAGAUGAAGACGAGGAAGAGGAGAAUGUCUCCACUGAGCAUGGACACCAGGUCCACAGACACCAGGACCAUAGGAAGGAGGAGGAUGAAGACGUCUCAGAGGAACAUGACCACGACCAUGGCCCCAGCCACAGACACAGGGGCCACGAAGAAGAUGAUGAUGACGGCGAUGAUGUUGUCUCCGCCGAGCGCAGACAUCAAGUCCACAGGCACCGAGAUCAUGGGGAGGAGGAGGAGGAGGAGGCUGUCUCAGAGGAACAUCCCCACCAUCACAGCCCCAGCCACAGACACCAGGGCCACGAAGAAGAAGAUGAUGAUGAAGAAGAUGACGAUGAUAUUGUCUCCACCGAGCACAGACAUCAAGUCCACAGGCACCGAGAUCAUGGGGAGGAGGAGGAUGAAGAUGACUCAGAGGAACAUCACCACCAUGGCCCCAGCCACAGAUACGGGGGCUACGAAGAAGAAGAAGAUGAUGAUGAAGAUGAUGAUGAUAUUGUCUCCACUGAGCACAGACAUCAAGUCCACAGGCACCGAGAUCACGGGAAGGAGGAGGAUGAAGCUGUCUCAGAGGAACAUCACCACCAUCACGGUGGUGACAAGGAAGACGAGGGUGAGGAUGUGUCCACUGAACACUGGCACCAGGCUCCCAGACAUACCCACCAUGGCCUUGGAGACGAGGAGAAGUUCAGCCACCCUGUUGCAAGCCACCAACCCCAAGGCCACAAGAGCGCUAAGGGGGAGGACUUCCCAGAUUAUAAAAAAGCAGCCCCUGGCCAUGACCAUCAUGGAGUCCCCAAAGAGGAAGAUGAGGACAUUUCUGCCAGGCUUGGCCACCAGGCUCCCAGCCACAGGCAGCAAGACCACAGAGAUGAGGGGACUGGCCACAGAGGGUCCAUCAAGGAAGAGAUUAGCCACCGGUCCCCAGAACACAUGGGGGUGAAGGAUAGAAGCCAUUUAAGGGAGAGCGAGUCUGAGGAGGAUGAGGAAGAGAAGGAAGAGGAUCACAGCUCCCAUGAAGAAGCUGACGAAGGUUCAGAGGAGGGAGGAGAAGGCACCCCGCAUGGCAGCCUGGAUGACCAGGAGGAUGAGGAAGAUGAGGAGGAAGGGCAUGGCCUCAGCCUCAGCCAGGAGGAGGGGGAAGAGGAGGAGGAGGAAGAGAAGGAGGAAAAGAGAGAAGAGAGAGCUGAGGUUUGGGUCCCACUGAACCAAGACCACCAGGAGGAAGAUGAGGAGGAGGCGGGGCUAGGAGAAGAUGAACUCCCCUUCACCAUCAUCCCCAACCCGCUGACCAGGAAGGAGGUGUCUGGAGGGGCCUCCAGUGAGGAGGAGAGUGGCGAGGACAUGGGUCAGCAGGAUGCCCAGGAGUAUGGGAACUACCAGCCAGGGUCCCUGUGUGGCUACUGCUCCUUCUGCAAUCGAUGCACUGAAUGUGAAAACUGUCACUGUGACGAGGAGAACAUGGGAGAGCAUUGCGACCAGUGCCAGCACUGUCAGUUCUGCUACCUCUGCCCGCUGGUCUGCGAAACUCUCUGCUCUCCCGGAAGCUACGUGGACUAUUUCUCCUCGUCCCUGUACCACAGGACAAUGGCCAGUCUCUGCUCAGGACAACGGGCAAUCCAGAACUGUUUCCCUCUCCUUCAUAAUGACCUCACAGACCCUUGUCUACUCAAAGCACCAUUAUCACUUGAGAACUUGCUGAAAUUGCGGAAUCUCAGACCCUAGGCUACUGAAUGGAAAUCCUCAUUCUCACAAGAGCCUCAGGUGAUCUGAACAGUACAUUUAAGAAGUACUAGUCCAAAAAAAAAAAAGUACUAGUCUAGCAUCGUCCCAACUCAGAACAAUGGAUCAGUCCAAUAUCACUACUCCUCCAAUUCCGCACAACAGAUUCUUCCAGCAUAGCUACCUCCCCAACAAAGGACAACGGUUUCAUCUACCACUCUUGCGCUGUCCCAAAACUACUAGCCCGAUGCCACAUCUGGCCCAGGACAAUAUUCUGGAUCCACCCCAAGUCCUUCACUCCUCCCGGCAUGAGCAAACAAUCCAUACCUUGGGCUCUUGGAAACAAAGACCCAACAUAGCUCCUCUACCUCAGUUACAGCAAUGAAACAGCCUCUGGAGCCCGCGCAACCAACCAUAAUGGGAUGACCCGUGCACCACUGACAAUGGAACAGUCGGGCUUCUACACCGACCCCACCAAGCCACAGUGACAGCCCAGAGCAGCGCUCCGCGCAGCGCCCCCCCGCGGUGAGGAUGGAAUGCUCCGGCGAGGGGCGGGGCGGGGCUCGGAGAAGGAGGGGCGUCCAUGCAGCGUGCACAGCCUGUUCAUGCGCCCACGACCCGCCCCGCGCCCCCUACCUGCUCCCAGCUGAUCUCCUUGGUCUCCUGACCAGUUAGUGGGAAGAGGGGAGAGAAGGGGUGGGUUAAGGGGCAGGCGGAGGAGGGCGGGAGGGACAAACGGACGGACAGCCAGCCACAGACUCACCCGCCACCCGGCCCCUGCCCAGGGAAAGUUAGUGCCACCCCCAAGGCCACCGGCAUGGGGCACUCACAGGCUUGGUCGUCGCGGUCAGGGACUCCAUCUCCUCGUGUGUCAUCCACACGUUUCCUGUGGACUGAGGGGCGAGAGGUGUUACGGAGGUUGGGAGAAAGCUUCUGGACAGGGGAGGGGAAGACAGUCGUGCUCCUGGAGGAGCCGAAUUAGCCAUGGGAACACAUAAUUUUAUGUAUGGAACAAAAUGAUAAAAUGUUAGAAGGCAGUAAAUGCCAUGGGGUGAAAAAAAAUAUAGGUGUUCAUGUAUGAUGGAACCGGUGACUAGUUUAGCUGUUGAGUUAGGGAGGCCUCUUGGAGGUGGUGACAUUUGAGCUGAGACCUCAGGGAUGAGUUGGAGCCAGCCUUGGAGGUAAAAAAGAAGGACUGGUGCUCCAAGAAAAGAGAGCAGCAAGUGUCAAGGAGCAGAGUAGAAAAGGAGCUGGGGAAGGGGCCCCUCAUCAUGGGACUUGUAGAGAACCAUAUGAAUUUGGGUUUUUCUCCGGGAUAGGAUCCUUCUGCUGCGGAGUGUAAGACAGACUGAGGGUUGGAAGUAGAGGGGAGGCAGGGAGACUUGAAGGGUGUCCCACCCUCAGAGAUAAUCCAGGUGAGAGAUUGUGCAGAGCAGGGUGUAUCUGACAAGACAGAGCUAGAAUGAGCGGACUCAGGAUUGGCUACUCUGAGGACGGUAGACGGGGCCUA